rnacentral:rRNA from 1 species
AGCAGCCAAAGGGAAUAGUUGGACAAUGGGCGCAAGCCUGAUCCAGCAACGCCGCGUGGAGGAAGAAGGCUUCGGCUUGUAAACUCCUUAUGUGUGAGGGUAUGAGACAAGGACAGUACCUCACGNAUAAGUCACGGCAACUAGGUGCCAGCAGCCCCGGNAACACCUAGGCUGACAAGCGUUAUCCGGAUUUACUCGGGCGUGAAACGGGCUCGAAGGCGGCAGUCUCCAAGUCCGGCGUGAAAUCUCCGUGGCAUUAACCACGGAGGGGUCGUACGGAUCACUGUCUACAUAGCCUAGAGGCAGCUGAGAGGCGCGUAGCGGAAUCUCCUCGGCUGGAGCUGGUGGAAUACGUAGAUAUCGAGAGGAACACCAGUGGCGAAAGCGGCGCCCCUGGCACGUGACCUGACGCUUCAUGAGCGAAAGCGAUGGGGAGCGACACGGGACUUAGAUAGCCCCGGCUACGAUCCAGACGCUGUAACAACGACUGAGUACUAAGGAUGUACGGCGACACACCGUGGUCCUGUGCGCGAAGCUAACCGCGAUAAGUACUCCGACCUGGGGACUACGGCGCAAGGCUAAAACUCAAAGGAAUUGACGGGGACCCGCAACAAGCAGCGGAGCGUGUUGUUAAUUCGAUGUAACGCGAAGAACCUUACCUGGGUUUGACAUGUCGCGUAGUAGUGAAGCGAAAGCCGAACGACCCUUCGGCGGAGCGUACACAGGUGUUGCAUGGCAGUCGUCAGCUCGUGUCGUGAGAUGUUGGGUUAAAUCCCGCAACGAGCGCAACCCUCGUCGUUAGUUACAAGUGUCUAGCGAGACUGCCGGUUAUACAUCGGAGGAAGGUGAGGACGAUGUCAAGUCAGCAUGACCCUUAUAUCCAGGGCUACUAACACGCUACAAUGGGCCGUACAAUGGGCAGCCAAAGAGCGAUGCUGGAGCAAAUCCCACCAAAACGGUUCGUAGUGUCGGAGUUGGAGGCUGCAACUCGCCUCCAUGAAGUCGGAGUUGCUAGUAAACGCAGGCUCAGCCACUACUGCGUUGAAUACCGCUUCCCGGGUUUUGUACACACCGCCCGUCAAGUCAUGGAAGUUGGUAACGCCUGAAGCCGGUGACCUAACCGCAAGGAUAGGACGCUGUCGAGGGUGGGACUGAUGACUGGGACUAAGUCGUAACAAGGUAGCC